rnacentral:lncRNA from 1 species
GGUACAGACCAGAGAUCUACAACAGGGCCUGAGCAUCUCGUGUAAUGUCAAGACUUUGAGCUGAGAAAAACACAUCAGAGUAUCAGGACAGAAAAACAAUGGAUGAGAAGGACCUUAAAACUCUGCCUGUAGAUCUGAUCAAUGGAUCUCUGUGAAGUCCUUGGACUGACUCUGCUUAUGGUCUUUAAAUGAAGGGCUACUUAAAUUGAUAAUUCCUGCUCCAGAAAAAAAAAGACCACCUCAAACAACUUUUUAUUUUGAGAAUGCCGAUGAGAAAAGAAACUUUUCCCUGCAGUGAAAUGUGAGAUUCUGAAAGCCGACAUGCCAUCUUGUCAUCGCCAUACACAAGUGCAGAAUGAAAUGAGUGGAGCAAGUAAACAAAUGAUUGUGCCUCAGAGGGAAUUGAGGAGUUGCUCCGCACCAAAGCAUUCAGAAACCACAGUGGGAAUUGUAAAAAAGAGAAUGAUUUUAUAUUACCAAAGACACCAAGAUUUUUGUGUUAUUCCUACGUUGGGCUCAGCAGGCUGGGUUGCUUUGUAUCAGGAUGAUGCUGACCCUUGGCUUCAGGUCCACUUGGACAACAUGUUGGGCCACCCUCUGUCUGCACUCAAAUGGCCAUCGAAACAUUAA